rnacentral:lncRNA from 1 species
CCCCCAAGCCGCCCAAGCCCUCGCCGCCGUCGCCGCCCGGCCCGCCCUACGCCGGCGGCCGCGCCACCGAGACCACCUUGGGCUAGACCUAGCUAGCUACGUACGCACCUCGCUCCUACCACAGUACGUGUGCCCUAGCGCCUACGUGUUAUAAGAAUCAAGAAAAAUCACCAUCUGCAAAAAAAAAAAAAUUGUCUCUCUGAUUAGUUUCCAUAUAAAUAUACAUUUAUUCAGUCAAAGCCGCGACUUAUUAACUGUUCAUCGUUUUAUCUUAGCCACCUGUUGCAAAUGAAAAAUGGGUCGUCACUUGUAUUGAGUGUGUGUAAUGUACGACCUGAGAAAUGUAUACUCAUUAAUGUAAUGUGUUCGUCGUGCUCUGAGAGUGAAAAUGUUACUUUAAUUUGUGCAAGCGUCUGUUCUCAAUUCCAUGUUGGAUUUUUGGAUGUGGAGUUUGUAAGUAAAAUCAAAGUGGUUAAGCAUCGUAUACUUCAUUUAAAAUGGGAACAAAGUGAUUUAUGGAUUUUUAGAGGUAGAUACCAAGCUUGAAAAAAAUCUUGGAUCAUAAGUUGUUCCAAAUAGGACCUUAAUUACGACAACCGUCCUCGAUCCCUACGUACCUACAAAAACCACACCAA